UUUUUAAUGUAUAUCCAAAUUUUAAAAAUUUAAAUUAAUUUAAAAUUUAAAUUAAAGUUUGAAUUUAAAUUUUAAUUUAUAAAAAUUAAAUUUAAUUUUGAAUUUAUUAUUCGACUUUAAAUAAUUGUUGGUUUGAUAGGUUUAUUUUUAAAUCAUUCUAUUUUUCAAACCUGAUAUAUUUUAUUUUAUUUUUAUUUUUUUAAUUUUUUUUUGUAAUGUGUGACACCCCAAUAAUCCCACAUCGGAUGGGAAUAGGGUUAAUAAUAACUGGGCUUAAGCAUUUUGGGCUGGUUGUUGGGCCCAACGAGUUAUUGUUGCUAGUGGGCUGGGUCGUUACAUAAUGUGUAUAGAAUAUUCUUUAUAUCAUUUAGGAUUCCAUAUGUCAAGUCUAUUUUUAUUUUAAUCCAGUUUAUGUAUGGUAUAGAUAUAGAUAUGGCAAUAUAGUAACUUAUUUCUAAAUUGCCAUACAUAAAAAUAGGG
rnacentral:lncRNA from 1 species